UACAGAGGUCCCAAGCGUUGUUCGGAUUCACUGGGCGUAAAGGGUGCGUAGGUGGCGAGGUAAGUCGGAUGUGAAAGCUCGGAGCUCAACUCCGAAAUGGCAUUGGAAACUACCUUGCUCGAGGGUUGGAGGGGGGACUGGAAUUCUCGGUGUAGCAGUGAAAUGCGUAGAUAUCGAGAGGAACACCAGUGGCGAAGGCGAGUCCCUGGACAACUCCUGACACUGAGGCACGAAAGCUGGGGGAGCGAACGGG
rnacentral:rRNA from 1 species